rnacentral:lncRNA from 1 species
UUUCUCACCUGCUAAGGCCAGGGGAAUCUGGGAGAGAGGGGGUUGUCACAGCAGCCUUCAGUGUCUCACUCUCAGUCUGCAGUCAUCGAUACCACUGCAAAAGAAGCUUCCAGUGGCAGCACGGAUCAUGGACUUCCACAUGGUUUCCAGUGGCAGCACAGACCACAGACGUCAAUGCAGUCUGUUGGUCGCAAGGGCCAUGGACAUCAACACGGUCUCCAUUGUCAGCAUGGACCGUGGAAGCCUUUGGGAGGAGACUAAUCCAGAAAAUGGACCACUCUUCCUCUUGAAUAUCCUGUUACUGCCAGAGUCAGGAUGAUUGUGAGGUUGGGCAUUGGUUGGGCAUUGUGUUUGGGGUGGCGGUGACGGGCAGGACUGAUGCAAGCUGAAGGCUGCUGAGACUACCCUGCCCUCUUCACUGGCUGCCCUGCUAGUAUCCGGGGUAUGAGCUUGCAGCCCAGCAACGCAAGCUCCUUUGUCUCUAGUCUGCUUCUCUCCACCAUGCGUGCCCUCCAUCCCACCACCUUGCCCAUGUCUCUGUCACACAUUCGUUUAUUAAGGUGGUACUUCAAUGGCUUGUGUGUCACAUAGUAUAUUAUUUUUCCCCAACAGCUUUACAUGCAAAUACUUACUGCAACAAAUCACUGACCUGGUUCAAGGUUUCUGAAGCAACAUAAAUACUGGAAUAUUGCUGAAACUCAUCUCGGAUAUCCUGUUGUUGCCCAGAGUCACAGUGAGCAGUGUGUCCAGGGCCAGGACCUGUGUGUGGUGACCUAUGCUUUCCUCCCCGAGGUGGUAGCAGCAGUGGCAGUGGCUCCAUGUCACAGGCCUUACAUUUUAUUUUGAAAGAUUUAUGUAUAUGAGUGUUUUGUCUGAAUGUAUUAUGUGUGUCUACCAUAUGUGUGCCUGGUGCCCACAGAGAUCAGAAGAGGGCAUCAGAUCACUUAGAGCUGGACUUAUAUAUAGAUGGUUGUGAGCUGCCAUGUGGGUGCUGGGAACUGAACCUGGGUCUUCUGCAAGAGCAGCAAGUGCUCUUAACAGAUGAGACAUCUCUCCGGCUCAUAAAAAAUUUAAAACAUCUUAGGGCGUCAUGCCUACUGUGCACGUGGAAGUCAGAGGACAAUUGUGGGGGUCAGUUCUCUCCUCUCACUGUGUGAGUUUCAGGGAUUGAACUCAGGUCUCCAAGCUUGGUGGCAAGCGCCUUUAUUGUAUGAGCCGUUUCACUGGACCUGCCUAUUUCCUUUCCACCUGUCUUCUUUUAACCUAAUUCUUUCUUCAACCAUCCCUAGAAUAUCUUUCCAUUUCAUGUUUUUAAUCUCUCAUUACUCAGAGAGAGAGGAGGGAGGGAAGAUGAGUCACUUGGAGCAUCGGCCCACAGAUGCCGCAGGCAUGAGCUGCACUGAUGCAGCUGAGCAAGUGGUCCCCAAAGCUUUAGUUCUCCAGUUUCACAGACUUCAGGGAGCCCUGGGGGCUCUCCAUCCUGAAAGGAGGUCCCUGAGUACUAAAGUGACCAUGUGUGUGGCUC